rnacentral:rRNA from 1 species
GAUGAACGCUGGCGGCGUGCCUAAUACAUGCAAGUCGAGCGAACGGACGAGAAGCUUGCUCCUCUGAUGUUAGCGGCGGACGGGUGAGUAACACGUGGAUAACCUACCUAUAAGACUGGGAUAACUUCGGGAAACCGUAGCUAAUACCGGAUAAUAUUUUGAACCGCAUGGUUCAAAAGUGAAAGACGGUUUUGCUGUCACUUAUAGAUGGAUCCGCGCUGCAUUAGCUAGUUGGUAAGGUAACGGCUUACCAAGGCAACGAUGCAUAGCCGACCUGAGAGGGUGAUCGGCCACACUGGAACUGAGACACGGUCCAGACUCCUACGGGAGGCAGCAGUAGGGAAUCUUCCGCAAUGGGCGAAAGCCUGACGGAGCAACGCCGCGUGAGUGAUGAAGGUCUUCGGAUCGUAAAACUCUGUUAUUAGGGAAGAACAUAUGUGUAAGUAACUGUGCACAUCUUGACGUUACCUAAUCAGAAAGCCACGGCUAACUACGUG